UGAGCUGGGUUCAGACCGUCGUGAGACAGGUCGGUCUCUAUCCGCUGUAGGCGUUGGGAAUUUGAGAGGAGCUGCCCCUAGUACGAGAGGACCGGGGUGGACGAAGCGCUCGUGUGCCAGUUGUCGUGCCAACGGCAUCGCUGGGUAGCGACCUUCGGCAGGGAUAACCGCUGAAAGCAUCUAAGUGGGAAGCCCACCUCAAGACGAGAUUCCCCAUCCCUAUAAGGGAGUAAGACCGCUGGAAGACGACCAGCUAGAUAGGCGGGAGGUGGAAGCGCAGCAAUGUGUGUAGCUGACCCGUACUAAUGGUCGAGGGCUUUUAACUG
rnacentral:rRNA from 1 species